GCUCUUUCUAUCGAAUUUCGCUUUCAUUCCUAUCACAAGGAAUGUUAUAAUAUAUCUCUCAUGGAUUUCGAUCGCCUGUACAGUGUAGGUAAAGAAAAGGAAAAAAAAUAUCUGUUCAUUCAAAUCCUCUACAAUUACCUUAAUCCGUUUCAUUUUUCGAAAAUAUCAUGCCGGAGUUUCGUCAACAGGACAGAUAUACUCGACCGAGGAGAUGGAAGCUA